UAGGGAAUAUUGGUAAUGGGCGAAAGCCUGAACCAGCAACGCCGCGUGUGCGAUGAAGGCCUUCGGGUUGUAAAGCACUUUUUGAGGGGAUAAGGAAGGACAGUACCCUCAGAAUAAGUCUCGGCUAACUACGUGCCAGCAGCCGCGGUAACACGUAGGAGACUAGCGUUAUCCGGAUUUACUGUGCGUAAAGCGCGUGCAGGUGGCUCGGAAAGUUCGAUGUGAAAGCUCCCGGCUUAACUGGGAGAGGUCGUUGAAUACUUUCGGGCUGGAGGAUGGGAGAGGGAGGCGGAAUUCCGGGUGUAGGGGUGAAAUGCGUAGAUAUCCGGAGGAACACCAGUGGCGAAAGCGGCCUCCUGGCCCAUUUCUGACACUCAGACGCGAAAGCUAGGGUAGCAAACGG
rnacentral:rRNA from 1 species